GGGUGACGCCUACCAAGGCGACGACGGGUAGCCGGCUGAGAGGGUGUCCGGCCACACUGGGACUGAGAUACGGCCCAGACUCUACGGGAGGCAGCAGUGGGGAAUAUUGCACAAUGGGCGCAAGCCUGAUGCAGCGACGCCGCGUGGGGGAUGACGGCCUUCGGGUUGUAAACCUCUUUCAGCAGGGACGAAGCGCAAGUGACGGUACCUGCAGAAGAAGCACCGGCCAAUUACGUGCCAGCAGCCGCGGUAAUACGUAGGGUGCGAGCGUUGUCCGGAAUUACUGGGCGUAAAGAGCUCGUAGGUGGUUUGUCGCGUUGUUCGUGAAAUCUCACGGCUUAACUGUGAGCGUGCGGGCGAUACGGGCAGACUGGAGUACUGCAGGGGAGACUGGAAUUCCUGGUGUAGCGGUGGAAUGCGCAGAUAUCAGGAGGAACACCGGUGGCGAAGGCGGGUCUCUGGGCAGUAACUGACGCUGAGGAGCGAAAGCGUGGGGAGCGAACAGGAUUAGAUACCCUGGUAGUCCACGCCGUAAACGGUGGGUACUAGGUGUGGGUUUCCUU
rnacentral:rRNA from 1 species